AACGCGAAGAACCUUACCUGGGUUUGACAUGCACAGGACGUGCCUAGAGAUAGGUAUUCCCUUGUGGCCUGUGUGCAGGUGGUGCAUGGCUGUCGUCAGCUCGUGUCGUGAGAUGUUGGGUUAAGUCCCGCAACGAGCGCAACCCUUGUCUCAUGUUGCCAGCACGUUAUGGUGGGGACUCGUGAGAGACUGCCGGGGUCAACUCGGAGGAAGGUGGGGAUGACGUCAAGUCAUCAUGCCCCUUAUGUCCAGGGCUUCACACAUGCUACAAUGGCCGGUACAAAGGGCUGCGAUGCCGUGAGGUGGAGCGAAUCCUUUCAAAGCCGGUCUCAGUUCGGAUCGGGGUCUGCAACUCGACCCCGUGAAGUCGGAGUCGCUAGUAAUCGCAGAUCAGCAACGCUGCGGUGAAUACGUUCCCGGGCCUUGUA
rnacentral:rRNA from 1 species